rnacentral:rRNA from 1 species
CCUACGGGGGGCUGCAGUCGAGAAUUUUUCUCAAUGGGCGCAAGCCUGAAGGAGCGACGCCGCGUGGGGGAUGAAGGGUUUCGAUCCGUAAACCCCUGUCAUUUGUGAACAAUGCCUGUUGGUGAACAUCCGGCAGGUUGAUAGUAAUGAAAGAGGAAGGGACGGCUAACUCUGUGCCAGCAGCCGCGGUAAUACAGAGGUCCCGAGCGUUGUUCGGAUUCACUGGGCGUAAAGGGUGCGCAGGUGGCAUGGCAAGUUUGAUGUGAAAGCUCAGG